UCCGCGAUUUGCGACCACCCUUCACCUGAGUGGAUUCGAUCUUGGAGGUAAGAUGAUUCGAGCUCGAAACUUGUAUAUGUUCAAUGUUCUAUGUUUCUUGUUUAGUCUCUUGCUGUUUUGUUUGGUGCCAUGAUUUGUAUUUGAUCUGCGCAGAAUUUGUAUUUGUAAUUCGGACUUCUGGGGAAGACCCUGAAGUCCUGCCCUGGAUGAAAGUCCGAGGGUUGCUUGAUUUGAUCUGCGCAGAAUUUGUAAUUUGUAUUUGAUCUGCGCAGAAUUUGUAAUUGAACCAUAGGGUAAGCAGACUUGCGAGAACCUUGGUUCCACCCUGGAUGAAAGUCCAAGGUUUGGUUGUAAUUUUGGUUUGGGGCACCAUUUCUUUGCCGCGGUUUGUCCUGUCUAAUGUUUGUGCUGUCUAAUGUGCUGUCAUUUGUGUUAUGUGUUUCUUAAGCAUCUCUUUCUGUCCCACAUUGCCCAUGCACGUGGCAUGCAUGGGUCAGGGGUCUUUUCUUGUUGCCCUAAGCACAUGGCACGGGAAAGGAGUUCUGCCAUAAACACAUAACACAAAUGACAGCACAUUAGACAGCACAAACAUUAGACAGGACAAACCGCGGCAAAGAAAUGGUGCCCCAAACCAAAAUUACAACCAAACCUUGGACUUUCAUCCAGGGUGGAACCAAGGUUCUCGCAAGUCUGCUUACCCUAUGGUUCAAUUACAAAUUCUGCGCAGAUCAAAUACAAAUUACAAAUUCUGCGCAGAUCAAAUCAAGCAACCCUCGGACUUUCAUCCAGGGCAGGACUUCAGGGUCUUCCCCAGAAGUCCGAAUUACAAAUACAAAUUCUGCGCAGAUCAAAUACAAAUCAUGGCACCAAACAAAACAGCAAGAGACAAAACAAGAAACAUAGAACAUUGAACAUAUACAAGUUUCGAGCUCGAAUCAUCUUACCUCCAAGAUCGAAUCCACUCAGGUGAAGGGUGGUCGCAAAUCGGACGAGCCCCCAAAAUGUUAGACCCCCGAAAACUCAAGUAUCCGGGGUCUCAGGCCAGGUUCGCGGUCACCCCAAUCACCAGGCGGAUUCGAGAGCUUGCUGCAAACUGCACGAGGCUUUAUUGUAAUUUAACG
rnacentral:lncRNA from 1 species